GACGAACGCUGGCGGCGUGCUUAACACAUGCAAGUCGAACGAUGAAGCGGUGCUUGCACCGUGGAUUAGUGGCGAACGGGUGAGUAAUACGUGAGUGACCUACCUUUGACUCUGGGAUAAGCCUGGGAAACUGGGUCUAAUACCGGAUACGACCAAUCUCUGCAUGGGGUGUUGGUGGAAAGCGUUAUGGAGUGGUUUUAGAUGGGCUCACGGCCUAUCAGCUUGUUGGUGAGGUAAUGGCUUACCAAGGCGACGACGGGUAGCCGGCCUGAGAGGGUGACCGGCCACACUGGGACUGAGACACGGCCCAGACUCCUACGGGAGGCAGCAGUGGGGAAUAUUGCACAAUGGGCGCAAGCCUGAUGCAGCGACGCCGCGUGAGGGAUGACGGCCUUCGGGUUGUAAACCUCUGUUAGCAUCGAAGAAGCGAAAGUGACGGUAGGUGCAGAGAAAGCGCCGGCUAACUACGUGCCCGCAGCCCCGGUAAUACGUAGGGCGCGAGCGUUGUCCCGAAUUAUUGGGCGUAAAAAACUGUAAGCGGUUGGGUCGCGUCUGCUGUGAAGGCCGGGGCUUAACUCCGGUUUUGCAGUGGGUACGGGCUAACUAGAGUGCAGUAGGGGAGACUGGAAUUCCUGGUGUAGCGGUGGAAUGCACAGAUAUCAGGAGGAACACCGAUGGCGAAGGCAGGUCUCUGGGCUGUAACUGACGCUGAGAAGCGAAAGCAUGGGGAGCGAACAGGAUUAGAUACCCUGGUAGUCCAUGCCGUAAACGUUGGGCACUAGGUGUGGGGGACAUUCCACGUUUUCCGCGCCGUAGCUAACGCAUUAAGUGCCCCGCCUGGGGAGUACGGCCGCAAGGCUAAAACUCAAAGGAAUUGACGGGGGCCCGCACAAGCGGCGGAGCAUGCGGAUUAAUUCGAUGCAACGCGAAGAACCUUACCAAGGCUUGACAUGCAUUAGAUCGCGUCAGAGAUGGCGUUUCCCUUCGGGGCUGGUGUACAGGUGGUGCAUGGUUGUCGUCAGCUCGUGUCGUGAGAUGUUGGGUUAAGUCCCGCAGCGAGCGCAACCCUCGUUCUAUGUUGCCAGCGGUUCGGCCGGGGACUCAUAGGAGACUGCCGGGGUCAACUCGGAGGAAGGUGGGGAUGACGUCAAAUCAUCAUGCCCCUUAUGUCUUGGGCUUCACGCAUGCUACAAUGGCCGGUACAGAGGGUUGCGAUACUGUGAGGUGGAGCUAAUCCCUUAAAGCCGGUCUCAGUUCGGAUUGGGGUCUGCAACUCGACCCCAUGAAGUCGGAGUCGCUAGUAAUCGCAGAUCAGCAACGCUGCGGUGAAUACGUUCCCGGGCCU
rnacentral:rRNA from 1 species